rnacentral:rRNA from 1 species
GGAAUCUUCCGCAAUGGACGAAAGUCUGACGGAGCAACGCCGCGUGAGUGAUGAAGGUUUUCGGAUCGUAAAACUCUGUUGUUAGGGAAGAACAAGUAUGAGAGUAACUGCUCGUACCUUGACGGUACCUAACCAGAAAGCCACGGCUAACUACGUGCCAGCAGCCGCGGUAAUACGUAGGUGGCAAGCGUUGUCCGGAAUUAUUGGGCGUAAAGCGCGCGCAGGCGGUCCUUUAAGUCUGAUGUGAAAGCCCACGGCUCAACCGUGGAGGGUCAUUGGAAACUGGGGGACUUGAGUGCAGGAGAGAAGAGUGGAAUUCCACGUGUAGCGGUGAAAUGCGUAGAGAUGUGGAGGAACACCAGUGGCGAAGGCGACUCUUUGGCCUGUAACUGACGCUGAGGCGCGAAAGCGUGGGGAGCAAACA